rnacentral:rRNA from 1 species
AUUGAACGCUGGCGGCAGGCCUAACACAUGCAAGUCGAGCGGAUGAAGGGAGCUUGCUCCUGGAUUCAGCGGCGGACGGGUGAGUAAUGCCUAGGAAUCUGCCUGGUAGUGGGGGAUAACGUCCGGAAACGGGCGCUAAUACCGAAUACGUCCUGAGGGAGAAAGUGGGGGAUCUUCGGACCUCACGCUAUCAGAUGAGCCUAGGUCGGAUUAGCUAGUUGGUGGGGUAAAGGCCUACCAAGGCGACGAUCCGUAACUGGUCUGAGAGGAUGAUCAGUCACACUGGAACUGAGACACGGUCCAGACUCCUACGGGAGGCAGCAGUGGGGAAUAUUGGACAAUGGGCGAAAGCCUGAUCCAGCCGUGCCGCGUGUGUGAAGAAGGUCUUCGGAUUGUAAAGCACUUUAAGUUGGGAGGAAGGGCAGUAAGUUAAUACCUUGCUGUUUUGACGUUACCAACAGAAUAAGCACCGGCUAACUUCGUG